GACGAACGCUGGCGGCGUGCUUAACACAUGCAAGUCGAACGAAGUGGCGAACGGGUGAGUAACGCGUAUUCAACCUGCCCUUCAGAGGGGGAUAACAGUGGGAAACGACUGCUAAUACCUCAUACUGAAGGAGGUGAUUUCGUCUGAUUAGCUAGUUGGGGGGGUAACGGCCUACAAAGGCGACGAUAAGUAGCCGGUCUGAGAGGAUGAGCUGCCACACUGGGACUGAGACACGGCCCAGACUCCUACGGGAGGCAGCAGUGGGGAAUCUUCCGCAAUGGACGAAAGUCUGACCGAGCAACGCCGCGUGAGUGAAGAAGGUCUUCGGAUCGUAAAACUCUGUUGUUAGAGAAGCGGUAUCUAACCAGUAAGCAACGGCUAACUACGUGCCAGCAGCCGCGGUAAUUC
rnacentral:rRNA from 1 species